rnacentral:misc_RNA from 1 species
UUGUGGAGGAGGACGCCGAAGGUGGGGCUAAUGACUGGGGUGAAGUCGUAACAAGGUAGCCGUACCGGAAGGUGCGGCUGGAUCACCUCCUAACAGGGAGACAACAAAAUGUAAAUAUUAAUUUUGUCACCUUAGGUCGAUCGGUAUCUCAGAUUCUUAUUUUUUAAGAAUUUCAGUUUCUAAGUUUUUUCUAGGUCACACCCAUCACUUUUUCCUGGGCCAUUAGCUCAGGUGGUUAGAGCGCACCCCUGAUAAGGGUGAGGUCCCUGGUUCAAGUCCAGGAUGGCCCAUAUCUCUAUGUUGGGGGUAUAGCUCAGUUGGUAGAGCGCCUGCUUUGCAAGCAGGAUGUCAGCGGUUCGAGUCCGCUUACCUCCACUGAAUACCACCUCUUACAUAUAUUUAAAGAGGGAAAUUGCUUUGAGUUGUGUCCUAUUUUGCUCUGAGCGAAUCUAGCUUCCUAUUUUAUUCAAUAAAUAAGAUGCUGGACUCAUUGAAUUUUUUUUCAUUGUUUUCAGAGAACCUUGACAACUGCAUAGAUUAUUUUUGAAGACCAUAAGCAUCUUUAAUGAUGCAGAUUUAUUAUUUGUGCGAAUGCAUUAAAUAACAAUUCUAUUAAGCUGAUGCUUCAAUUAUUGAAGUUAUUGGUCAAGCUACAA